rnacentral:lncRNA from 1 species
UGUGAUGUUUCAUUUUUUUCAGCUUUCCUUCUCAUAUUUAUUUCUUCUUGCUCCUGCACAAGAUUUGCAGCAUGUCUCCAGGCUUCCCGGGGGAAUUAUGGAAACAGCUGUAUGAUUUAUCUCUCUUCCAAGAGACUACAGUAAUCUGAGUGCACCAUCUGGCAACAAACAAGGCUGUUUUUGACACCUCCGCUACUGCUAGGAACCAGCCACAACUUUACUUUUUAUUUUCUUCAUGUCUCUCAUUUUUCUCCCUAUCAGAUUUGUUGGUCUUUUAUGUUACAAAGCUCUCACAGUUAGAUAUUAAGUCACUGUCUUGGGGUGGGGUUUUUUUGGAAGCUCAGCUGCUAAUAUCAGGCUAUUACCAGGAAAAAAAAAGGCAGCUCAGUUUUCUUUACAUAACCAAAACAGGAACAAAGUGUCUCCAGCUCUCUUAUGUGUGAGGAAGAGCUCGAAAAAGUUGUUGCCAAAAGUUUAGACAUCAGAAGGGUCACCCCAAAGUUAUUAACAUUAUUUUAAUCCGGAUGCUUUCGGAGGCUGGAAGUACGGUUCCUGAGCAUUUUGGUGUCGCGAAGAAUGGUGCUGCCCUUGAAAACCAGUGAUGAUUCAAACUCCCAGCAGCAAGUAAAUACAGCCAGCAGCGGGCAAACCUGCCUCAUGGAGGCAACUUUUCUCAGAGUAAGACGAGCCGGAGAGUGUGGACGGCGGAAGGAGGUGGGAGCAAAGCUCCAGCCUGGGAGCUGGGCACGGCGCUUCUCCUCCCCGCUGCGCGGCAAGCGGUGCUCUGCAGUACAAUGGACUGACUAAUUGGAAAUGGGAUUGCUAAGAUGCAUCUUGAUUAUUCACCAGCUUUUAAACUCCAUCCAGGAUCACAGAACAGAGAUAAGUCCUGCUUGCUGUUGCUGUUUUUCUGUCAGAAAGAACAUGUGUCCACAUCAUUUUCAAGCUCUGCCCUUCGCAUAUGCAGGUCGUUACAGAUGAAAUGUAUUCUCGAUGUUGUUUUGCUCACUACUCCCAUGCAGAGAUGGACAUUGCCUCGUACAUUGUAAUCCCCAAGUUACUACUCUCAGAAUAAGUGUUGCAAUAUGAGUAUGUUGUCUGAGCUGUAUUUCCAGCCUCUCUUUUUGGCUUUUGAAAUCAUAUGCAAUAUUGCUGCAAUGUAGAUUUUUAGUUUGCUUGCUUUACACUCUCUUGUUUGAAGUUAAGCCCCCUUCUGGAUGUGAAGCGGAUGUCAGCUUAGGUCCUUGCCUGCCUUCAAAUUAUGGUCUCAGAAGAAGAAGGAUGGACUCCUUUUUCCACUACUGUUUGGAAUAUUCUUGGGACUGUCAAAGGGAGCUGAGACCUGAGGGUAAGCUGUCUCUUGACUCUUCUCCCUGGUCAUAGUGUCUCUUUUAAUCAGGCCAAGUUCACAGCUUGAGCUGGAGGUUCUGCGUAGGUCUUCAGUUAUGACUACUGGUCUGUGGGACGCUUCCAUCUACUUACUGCGUUGCUGUUUUCUUUGGAAGAUAAGAGUUUAAGGCUGAAGUACAGGAAAGCUGGCUCCCUGGCUUUAUCCUCACAACAUCCUUUGGUGGCUUAGACCCACAGCCUAGACAGUACAGUAGGUGCCACCGGAGGCUGUGCAGGGCAAUGAAGGAAGGAAGAAGAUUUGUGGGGGAGGAGCAUCCCAUCACUGCCAAGCCAGCCAGGAACUGCCACCAUCAUAGCCUGACAUAGCCUGUGGGGAAAGGGUACUCCAGAACUGGGAUCCAGCCCUGGUGGCAGCUGGACCACCCUGAGCUACCACAUCAAGUUUUAGUCUGCGACC